rnacentral:lncRNA from 13 species
GUUUAACAUUUAGGCUGUAGUACACAUUCUUAAGGCUUUUGGUACACAUUGCCAAACUACUUUCUAGAAAUGUUCUUUUGUUCAACAAGUAUUUAUUAAAUACUUAUUAGUGUCCAGGCAUUGUUUCAAGCACUGGAGAAACAGUGAUGAAUAAGACAUACCAUCCUCCUGGAGCUUCUGUUUGACUCAGAAAGAAAGAAGAUGAAAAGUAACCAAAUAACAACAACAACAAAAAAGUAAUGUGGGUAGUUAUCAGUGCUAUAAAGAAAAAUAAAAGAAGCAGGAGAGUUGAGUAGAUUUGUAUUAUUGUUUUUAAAUAUUCGCUUAACUCUUCCAUUUGUGAGUGACUAUGGAAAAGGGGAAGGAGAGAAGAAAAUACUUGAGAAAGGGCAACACUCAGACAAUGAGAGAUCAGUGAAUACUGGCUCUGAAAUUAUGCACAUUCCCGAGCACCAAAAGAAAUUCUGCAGUGCACUAGUCAAUGAGGGCCUUAUGGUGGCCAAGCAAUCAGUGAAAUUUUGCCCAGGUCUUUCUCACCAUUGGCCAAGACAGAGGCAUUUCUUGUUAACCUAUUAAACUCUCUAUUUUUUUUUGAGAAUGGAGCUUCACUUUUAUUGCCCAGGCUGGAGGGCGAUCUUGGUUCAUGGCAACCUCUGCCUCCCAGGUUCAAAUGAUUCUCCUGCUACUUCCUGAGUAGCUGGGAUUAUAGGCAUACACCACCACGCCUGGCUAAUUUUGUAUUUUUUUUUUUUUUAAGGGGCGAGGUUUCUCCACGGUGGUCAGGCUGGUCUCCAACUCCUGACGUCAGGUGAGCCACCUGCCUCGGCUUCCCAAAGUGCUGGCAUUACAGGAGCACCUUCCUAAUAAGUCACUGACAUCUAUAUCAUGGCAUCUGCUUCUGGGGAACCCAACGUAAUAGACAGAGCUCUUGGACUGAUAUGGCGCGAUCUCGGCUCACCGCAACCUCCGCCUCCUGGGUUCAGGCAAUUCUCCUGCCUCAGCCUCCUGAGUAGCUGGGAUUAUAGGCACGCGCCACGACGCCCAGCUAAUUUUUUGUAUUUUUAGUAGAGACGGGGUUUCACCAUGUUGACCAGGA